rnacentral:misc_RNA from 1 species
AACUUUUGGCAACGGAUCACUUGGCUCUCGCAUCGAUGAAGAACGCAGCGAAAUGCGAUAAGUAAUGUUAAUUGCAGAAUUCAGUGAAUCAUCGAAUCUUUGAACGCACCUUGCACCCUUUGGCAUUCCGAAGGGUAUGCUCGUUUGAGUGUCAUUGUACUCUCACACUCCCGAUGCUUUUGGAUUGGGAGUGGUGGACUUGGGUGUUGCUGCUUUACUGUGGCUCACCUCAAAUGGAGUAGUGCAACUCUUGGUUGGACAUAGUACGGCGUGAUAAGUGUCUUCGCCGGCGCCUCAUUAGAGGGUGGCCGAUCGGGAGCUCUGUGCUUCAAACCGUCUUCGGACAACAUCUGACAACUUGACCUCAAAUCGAGUAGGACUACCCGCUGAACUUAAGCAUAUCAAUAAGCGGAGGCU